rnacentral:hammerhead_ribozyme from 1 species
AUCUAGCUGACGAGUCCUAAAUAGGACUAAAUGCGCGUCAAAUUGAAU